AUCCUUUUGUAGUUCAUAAGUGUGAUUGGGUAUUCAAAUGAAGGUGUGAGAGGUGCCACUCUGAAACCUUGUUAUGACGUCGGCACAUUACCAUUGACA
rnacentral:snoRNA from 1 species